GCCUGUCUGGCUCAGUUGGAAGAGCGUGAGACUUUUGGUCUCAGGGUCGUGGGUUUGAGUCCCACUUUGGGUA